rnacentral:rRNA from 1 species
UUUGGUGAUUGUAGCGGUGGGGGUACACCCGGAUCCAUCCCGAACCCGGUAGUUAAGCCCACUAGCGCCGAUGGUACUUGGGGUGCAGACCCUUGGGAGAGUAGGUUAUUGCCAAAU